AUUUACGGAAGCACGGAUACGAAAAACAUACGUAUGUGGAAACGAGGCGUAAGCAUGUUCGGGCCUGGUUAGUACUUGGAUGGGAGACCGCCUGGGAAUACCAGGUGCUGUAAGUG
rnacentral:rRNA from 10 species